CAAAUUAUAGAAGAAAUAAUUGAAAUAAAAAAUUUGGUAUGUAUUAAUGAGAGAAGGGGUACAAGAAUCGAUGUUAAAACGGGGAAGGAAUCAGAUAUAGAUCUAACAUUUGUAUCGAAUGAUAUAGCUGGUAUCUGUGAGUGGUCGUUGAUAAAGAAACUACAGUAGGUAGUGAUCAUUAUCCUAUAACUAUAAGGGUAGGAAUAAUUGGAAAUAAGUAUAAAAAUAGAGGGGAAAUAUUUAACUUUAAUAAGGCUGAUUGGAGUAAGUUUAGAUAUUUGAGUGAAAUGUAUUUAGAAAAGGUAGAUUUUAAUAUGCAUAUAAAUGAAGUAAAUGCAAAUAUCUC